rnacentral:rRNA from 1 species
GAUGAACGCUGGCGGCGUGCUUAACACAUGCAAGUCGAACGGUGAACGAGGGAGCUUGCUCCCUCCGGAUCAGUGGCGAACGGGUGAGUAACACGUGAGCAAUCUGCCCUGGACUCUGGGAUAAGCGUUGGAAACGACGUCUAAUACCGGAUACGAGGCGUGGGGGCAUCCCCAACGCCUGGAAAGAACUUCGGUCCAGGAUGAGCUCGCGGCCUAUCAGCUAGUUGGUGAGGUAACGGCUCACCAAGGCGACGACGGGUAGCCGGCCUGAGAGGGUGACCGGCCACACUGGGACGGAGACACGGCCCAGACUCCUACGGGAGGCAGCAGUGGGGAAUAUUGCACAAUGGGCGCAAGCCUGAUGCAGCAACGCCGCGUGGGGGACGACGGCCUUCGGGUUGUAAACCUCUUUUAGCAGGGAAGAAGCGAAAGUGACGGUACCUGCAGAAAAAGCACCGGCUAACUACGUGCCAGCAGCCGCCGUAACAC